ACGCUGGCGGCAUGCUUUACACAUGCAAGUCGGACGGCAGCACAGAGAAGCUUGCUUCUUGGGUGGCGAGUGGCGAACGGGUGAGUAAUAUAUCGGAACGUACCGAGUAAUGGGGGAUAACUAAUCGAAAGAUUAGCUAAUACCGCAUAUUCUCUGAGGAGGAAAGCAGGGGACCUUCGGGCCUUGCGUUAUUCGAGCGGCCGAUAUCUGAUUAGCUAGUUGGUGGGGUAAAGGCCUACCAAGGCGACGAUCAGUAGCGGGUCUGAGAGGAUGAUCCGCCACACUGGGACUGAGACACGGCCCAGACUCCUACGGGAGGCAGCAGUGGGGAAUUUUGGACAAUGGGCGCAAGCCUGAUCCAGCCAUGCCGCGUGUCUGAAGAAGGCCUUCGGGUUGUAAAGGACUUUUGUCAGGGAAGAAAAGGCUGUUGCUAAUACCGACAGCUGAUGACGGUACCUGAAGAAUAAGCACCGGCUAACUACGUGCCAGCAGCCGCGGUAAUACGUAGGGUGCGAGCGUUAAUCGGAAUUACUGGGCGUAAAGCGAGCGCAGACGGUUACUUAAGCAGGAUGUGAAAUCCCCGGGCUCAACCUGGGAACUGCGUUCUGAACUGGGUGACUAGAGUGUGUCAGAGGGAGGUAGAAUUCCACGCGUAGCAGUGAAAUGCGUAGAGAUGUGGAGGAAUACCGAUGGCGAAGGCAGCCUCCUGGGAUAACGCUGACGUUCAUGCUCGAAAGCGUGGGUAGCAAACAGGAUUAGAUACCCUGGUAGUCCACGCCCUAAACGAUGUCAAUUAGCUGUUGGGCAACUUGAUUGCUUAGUAGCGUAGCUAACGCGUGAAAUUGACCGCCUGGGGAGUACGGUCGCAAGAUUAAAACUCAAAGGAAUUGACGGGGACCCGCACAAGCGGUGGAUGAUGU
rnacentral:rRNA from 1 species